ensembl:lncRNA
GUGACUGCAAGGGGUGGAGCCACGAUCCACCUCCUCCAGACCUCAUUUAAGGCCUGGCAGUGGAGGUAAGAGCUUUUUGCUGGAGACUCCUGCCUACCUGAGGUCUUCUGAAGUAGCUCAGAAGAGAUGGGCAGUGAAUCCUCACAAGCAAAGUAGUUAUUCUCACCACAAAACUAAUUGCGAGGAGAGUAAACAACAAGCCCAUCAGUCACUCAGUGUGGCUUCACUUAUAAGGAUGUCACAAUAUGCUACAUGUGACCCCCAGCUACUGCAGGUAAGUAGAACUAUAGGUAAGCAACGUUGUCCAGCAUCCAUUUCCUUAUAGAAGGACUUUAUUUCUUCUGGUUUCUUCUGCAGUCUCCUGUCC